rnacentral:tRNA from 1 species
GGACAGGUGGCCGAGCGGCUGAAGGCACCGGUUUGCUAAACCGGCGUACUGGUUAUACUGGUACCGCGGGUUCGAAUCCCGCCCUGUCCG